AACGCACCUUGCGCCCCUUGGCAUUCUGAGGGGCACACCCGUUUGAGUGUCGUGAAUUUUUCAACCUUUUCCCUUUUAUUCUUUGAAUCGAGGCGGGAAAGGCUUGGACUUUGGAGGCUUCUGCUGGCCUCUCCCUCUUUUGAGGCCAGCUCCUCUUAAAUAAAUUAGUGGGGUUCCCUUUGCCGAUCCUCGACGUAUGAUAAAGCCAUUUCUACGUCUAGAGAAGCAAAGAGACCUGCUUCUAAUAGUCUCUUAGAGACAAUCUAUGGACCCUUUUGACCUCAAAUCGGGUGAGACUACCCGCUGAACUUAA
rnacentral:rRNA from 1 species